CCAAAGCAACAUUCAAAACAUGACUAGUACAGGAAAAAACUAAUACAAAAUACCUAAUUUGGCAAGAUAACGUCAUUUAAUGAUGUUACACCAUUUCAAAUGGAGAAACAUUAGACCGUCCCAUUAUUUCAAGGCCAAAUUCUUAAAUAAAGAUGGCAGAUCAAAUUUGUUCUGUAAUCGUACAGUUGGCAACAUUAGUUCUUGUGACUGGAUCUGAUGUCAAAUUCAGCUAUCAUGUAGUCCAGAGAGGAGGGACUCUGCGGUUAUAUGAUCUUAGACUGCAGUGAGUCUGACUCUUCUCAGAGUGAACACUUACACAAUGGAUCUUCAUGCAGUUAUUCUGUUCUGUGCCUCAGCAGCUACCGUCUUUGGAAAUGUCAUCACACCAAACAAAACAGAUGUUUUUGCUGAGGAGGGUUCAAGUGUUACAUUAUCCUGUAGUUUUACUGAUGCUAGCACUUUAGAUAAUCUCUACUGGUACCGUCAGUAUGGAAGAUCAAAACCUGAAUUUCUUGUACUCACCUACGACACUGUAAAAGAAGCUCAGCCGUCUGAUGUAGAUCCAAGAUUCUCUGUUAUCAUUCCAAAAAAGGAACAUGUGGAUCUGAUCCUCUCCUCUGCUGCUGUAUCAGACUCUGCUCUGUAUUACUGUGCUCUGAGGCCCACAGUGACAGGAAACACAUCAGCUCUAUACAAAAACCUGCUACAAUGA